AACUGGUUCGGGUAGUCUGGAUUGUUGCAUUUGCUUCUGAUCGUGCUCAGACGUAGUCUCUCUCACAAGCUGAAGGUGGACGUGUUCUUCUCCAUUGACCAAAAGGCUGGAGGAGUGAUUUUCCAUCACCUGAAGGUCUUCAAAGCCAACGGGCAACCUUUCCGGUUGGGCAGCCAGGAAAGGAGAAAGUGGAAUAAGGAAACUGCAGUCUGAAGGUGAAUAUUCCAAAUGCCACCAAAUGCAGAUGAGUAGUGCGAAGACUAUCUGGUUGAAGGACAUGUACAGUGAGUAUCUGAAAUGUGAACUAUGUUUUUAGAUAUUUGUUGUUUCGACACAUGCUUUCAUAUUUUCUGAACUUUUGAAGAAGUGUCAUCCUUCAUCCUUCUGCCAGAGGAAGCUAGAUGUGGCAACAUUUUCCUCAGGUAGAAGCAUUUCCGGUGAAAUAAAAUUAUUCCAAGGUGUUAGAGAUAUGCCUGGGACGUUGACUAUAAUUCUCAGUGGCUAUUCCCUUCAAUGACAAAUCUAGAAUGUAAGUGAACUGAUUUAUUUUAUCAUCUUUCCAUAGUGAGAUAUUUGUUGUGACUUUUUCGGGGAUGGAGAACAAUGUAACUUCUUUGAAAGUCAUGACAAAUGGCCCCAAAGCCGACGCUUAUGUGUAGGGUGUGUGUGUGUGUGUGUGUGUGUGUGUGUGUGUGUUCACUCACACCACCUGCCUUGAUGGCAGGCAUCAGGCAAACCUGGGAAUAUCACCAACAGGUCAAAUAGCUCCUGGGCAACACUGACAGCUUAAAAACUAUCUAUUGUUUAUGUAGACAGGUAAUAUACAAGUGACCUGCCAUUGAUAGGAUUUGAACUCUGAGUUGGUUUUACAUUUGAAAUGAUAGAGUUACACUCAAACAUCUGUCCUCAGUCACUCUUUUGAUGAAAGUAAGCAUUUCCAAGAAUACUGUCAAGAAUUAGGGUAUUAGCUAAGAAAUAGAAUAAAUCAAUUGAUGAAUACAACUCAUGAAACUGCAACUUUGGUUGCCAUUGUCGCCAUUUAGUUCGUUAGACCUAAAUGAGAAAUAUCUCAAUCAACGUAGGUUCCAUCACUACCAUCUAAGUAGACCAAAUCAUAAAUAAGUUGUUAACUAAAUUUUAGUGGUUGAAAAGAGUGACAAUUAAAUCAAAAUUCACAGAACCUACCUUAUCAUACACCUAAAGGAAAUAAACAAAAAAAUAAAAAUAACAGAAAGUAAACUAGCAGCAUUCAAUCUUUUGAAGGGGCUAAAUUCUGUAUCAAAAAAUCUUGAAAAAUAUUGUCUAGUUGUAAAGGGAUAAGCAGAUAAAAAUUGAAAGUAGGCAAUAAGAAUCCACAGAAGUAUCUUCCUCCAUCUAUCCAGCACCACCUUCCCCAUCAGCACCUGCUGCCAAUUACCACUAGGCAUCAGCAUUGUGGGGAGAAGGGGAAGGGAGGAAUUAAGACGAAUUUUACUAAUUUGGGAUGUGUCCUGGAUGCGUGGCAUGAAAGGAAGGGUGGUGAGUCUGUGGUGGGCCAGAGGGGAAGAGAGUGAAGCUAGAAAAUGAGUAAAAAGAAAGAGAAUAUACUUCUUUGUUUAAGUGACUUUCUAGAAACUGACAUCAUUAAUAGAAUUUGUCAUUUAGUUUCCUUCUGACACAGAGAAAGGCAACAAUACUAAUUAUUCCCAACAAUUAAAUAGUUAACGAUUAAAUAAAUAUUAUUUAAUUUUUAAAAAUGAAAUAAAAUGAAAAGCAAAUGUAAAUCUCUAGAGGUAUAUGUUUCUAAGGGGCAAACACAGUGUCCCAAAUGAAGGCCAUCUACUUGCUGUGACUAAGGAAUGACACAGCAGGAGAUGUCCUGGGUCCUCUUCUCUUCCCUGUUGCACUGGCUUAGAAGGAGACAGGAAUGGAUGCUAGGUAAACUCAAAUAUUAGAAUCAUUUGAAACCAGGAUAACCAUACAAAUCAUAGUUCUCCCACUGUCAGUGCCCACAAUGCUUUAUAGGACUCCAACAAGGCAAUAUGAAAUUUAAAAUAUGAGAGAGCAGUGAAAAUUACCCAGUGGCUAUAAAACCCUUUAUUCCAUACCCCCCAACCACCACUAACAGUUGAUAGAAAAUCAGAACAUAGAAUACAAAACAGAAUGCACAAUCUUCAAUCUGAAACUCUGAAGGAAAAACCCCAAGACAGAGCUCACCUAAUAUUUGAAGGAAGUAACACACUCACAAGACAUUUGGCCAAAUGCAAGGUGCAGAUGAAGCAGCCUGUGUAAUUAACAAAUAAUCUAGAAAGAUAUGAGAGGGUCAAAGUACAGAAAUACUAGAACAAGUAACAAUAGAAAGGAAAGAAGAUGGAAAUGGUGAAAUAAAAGGAGAGAAAUGGGGAAAAAAAGAGAAUCAGUUCUGGGGAAAAAAAGAUUUAUUCUAGGAAAUAAAAGAGGAAAAUUUUUCAACAAUAACUUUGUACUUUUCAAGGAAUUAAGAAAAACACAAAAUCUAUGGAACUAUAUAUAACAAUGAAUGGUUAAGCUAACAAUAAGAUAAGAUAUUAGAGUGUUAAGAAAGCAACUGGUCCACAAUGAACAGUAGCAGAGCAAAUGAUUGUGUUAGAAGUAGAAUAGAAAUCACAUGGUAGAAGGUCACAUCAGUGACAUAGAGGGCAGACAUUAAACUAUUGCUGCCAGAUGAAGGUAGAAGUCUCAGUUCCCUGUUGAACCUCCAUUGACACCUCAGGGUAGGAUAUUCUUUGUUACUAUUGAGCGGAAGUAGGAGUUCUGGCUCCUUUCAUGGCCCCAUGGACAUCGUGGUGAGAAUUGCCUUACCAUGUACUGCUGGGCAAUAGUGAAAGUCCUGAUUCUCCACUGGACCUCCUCUGACACCACCCACCUGUUGGGUGGGAGUGGAAGUCCAGGCUCCUUAAGUGGUGUCCACUGACACCAAGGGUUGGAUGCUUGUUACUGGCCAGCAAGGAUGAAAAUUCCAGCUCCCUAUGUGGUUUUCUGCCACCAUGCCUGUGAGGAUAUUGGGGAGCUUCAUUACAUCCUAGUAAUGGUGGAAGUCUAAGCCCUCUCACUUGGUCUUUGUUGGCAUGUGUAGGGGUGGGUCCAUAGUUUUUCUGUGAUGAUUGCCUGGAGUAGACAAGUUGUUGUCUAAAAGUUUUCCGUUUUUGCCACUCUGUCACUUUUCUAGUCCUCUAGCUAGAGAAAACAGGCUUUUUUCAGGCCUCUUUUUGUCUGUACAUGUGGAUGUUUCCAGUUAUAUGACUUCUUCAGCACCAAUUCUAGGAUACAGGAGACAAAAAUAAAAGCCAGGAAAAUCACACUGUGGUGUUCCUUGGGCCUAAUGUCCUUAGCCAGUCUGCCUUCUUCUCUCUACCUUCUGGAGUCCUCUUAUGUUUGUUUUGUAUAUAAUGUUGAUGCUUUUUAGCUGUGCUUAGUGGAGGGGAAAGCAAAAAGUAUAUAUACUUCAUCUUUCUGGAAGCAAAAGUUUGAACAUGUUUUUGAAAGACUGAAAGUGGAUGGAAGAGUGGUAGUUAACUCAGAUUAGUAGAGGAAGCUGAAAUUCAAGUGUUUGCAGAGGUUUCUAACAAAAAGUAAAAAUAUCAAGUACUGGCAAGCAUGCAAAGAAGAGCCCUUAUAAAUCUCCUACAUUGCUGUUGGAAAUGCAAAAUGACAUUGGUGCUUUGGACAAACUUUCAGCAGUUUCUCACAAGUUAAACAUACACUUAUCAUUUGACCCAACAAUACCAUUGCUAAGGCAUUUGCUCAGGAGUAAGGAAAACACAUUUCCCUACAAAAAACUCUAGGUGAGUGUGAAUGUUCACCUGCUUAUAGUAAGAAACAACUCAAAAUCCAUCAAGUAAUAAAUGGAUUAUAAAAUUAUAAUACAUUCAGAAAUAGAAUAGUACAUAGCAGUAAGAAGGGGUGAACUUCUGAUAAAUUCAACACCGUGCCUGAAUCUCAAAAGCAUUCUUCUUUUGAAAGAUGCAAUACACAAAAGAUUACCUACAAUUUGACUCCAUUUAUGUAACAUUUUGGAAAGGCAAAAAUAUAGAAACCAAAAUCAGAUCAGGGGUUGGGAAGAAGAGAUUAACAAAAAAGGGGCACAGAGAAACAUUUUGCAAAGAUGGCAAUACCUUAUAUAUUUACUGUGAUGUGGGUGCACAAUUGUAUCAUUUGUCAAAACUCAGAACUCUACAUCUAAAAAGUAUAAAUUUCAAUGAAUGUAAUUUAUUUAUUUAUUUUUUAAAGAUUGGCACCUGAGCUAACAACUGUGGCCAAUCUUU